UGGGGAAUAUUGGACAAUGGGGGAAACCCUGAUCCAGCGACGCCGCGUGGGUGAAGAAGGCCUGCGGGUUGUAAAGCCCUUUCGAUGGGGAAGAAAAGCCUUGACCUAACACGUCAGGGUCUUGACGUAACCCAUUAAAGAAGCACCGGCUAACUCUGUGCCAGCAGCCGCGGUAAUACAGAGGGUGCGAGCGUUAAUCGGAAUUACUGGGCGUAAAGCGCGCGUAGGCGGCUUCGCAAGUCGGAUGUGAAAUCCCCGGGCUUAACCCGGGAACUGCACUCGAGACUGCGUUGCUAGAGUAUGGGAGAGGGAGGUGGAAUUUCAGGUGUAGCGGUGAAAUGCGUAGAUAUCUGAAGGAACAUCAGUGGCGAAAGCGACCUCCUGGACCAAUACUGACGCUCAUGUGCGAAAGCGUGGGGAGCAAACA
rnacentral:rRNA from 1 species